GUGGGGCAGCAGGUCCCGCAGCAAUGCGGGAUGCUGGCGACCGGCAAACGGGUGCGGAACACGUACAGAACCUUCCUUUAAGUGGAGAAUAGCCCGGGGAAACCCGGAUUAAUACUCCGUAAUAUAAUGAAGUGGCAUCACUUUAUUAUUAUAGCAGCAAUGCGCUUGAAGAUGGCUGUGCGGCUGAUUAGGUAGUUGGCGGGGUAACGGCCCACCAAGCCUACGAUCAGUAACUGGUGUGAGAGCACGACCAGUCACACGGGCACUGAGACACGGGCCCGACUCCUACGGGAGGCAGCAGUAAGGAAUAUUGGGCAAUGGACGCAAGUCUGACCCAGCCAUGCCGCGUGGAGGAUGAAGGUCCUCUGGAUUGUAAACUUCUUUUAUCUGGGAAGAAAUCUAUUUUUUCUAAAGUAGUUGACGGUACCAGAUGAAUAAGCACCGGCUAACUCCGUGCCAGCAGCCGCGGUAAUACGGAGGGUGCAAGCGUUAUCCGGAUUCACUGGGUUUAAAGGGUGCGUAGGUGGGUUGGUAAGUCAGUGGUGAAAUCUCCAGGCUUAACUUGGAAACUGCCAUUGAUACUAUCAGUCUUGAAUACCGUGGAGAUGAGCGGAAUAUGUCAUGUAGCGGUGAAAUGCUUAGAUAUGACAUAGAACACCAAUUGCGAAGGCAGCUCGUUACACGAAUAUUGACACUGAUGCACGAAAGCGUGGGGAUCAAACAGGAUUAGAUACCCUGGUAGUCCACGCCCUAAACGAUGGAUACUCGACAUUUGCGAUAAACUG
rnacentral:rRNA from 1 species